rnacentral:rRNA from 1 species
UACGGAGGGGGCUAGCGUUGUUCGGAAUUACUGGGCGUAAAGCGCACGUAGGCGGCUUUGCAAGUUAGAGGUGAAAGCCCGGGGCUCAACCCCGGAAUUGCCUUUAAGACUGCAUCGCUAGAAUCAUGGAGAGGUGAGUGGAAUUCCGAGUGUAGAGGUGAAAUUCGUAGAUAUUCGGAAGAACACCAGUGGCGAAGGCGACACACUGGCCCGUUACUGACGCUGAGGCGCGAAAGCGUGGGGAGCAAACAGG